CCCGCACUGCUUUUUUCCUCAUCGGCAGAUCUCGCGAAACCUGGUGGUCGCCGCCGCCACCAUAGUUGACAUUCCCACCCCACGGCAAUCGACGUCCCCGUCCGGCCGGCCACCACCCAUCACCGGUUAUCUUCUCCUCCUCACGCCGCCCACCGGGAAGUCCCUCGAGGGCCCGACCCAGACGCCCUACAUCUGCACUGCCCCACUGCUCCAGCGCCCCCGUGGAGACGCCCGACAGCACAGCAGCGCGCCAGCGCCCGAGCAUCUAGCUGCUGCCAUCUCCUCUCAACUCCAGCCAACCUGCGGGCUCAGUCAUUACGCUCUGCCAUGCCACCAAGUAGCAGCCACCCUUGCGCCCUGCUCUGCAAGUCUGCAUCUCAGAUAUGAAGAAAGGGUCUAUCUGCUUGAAGGAAGAAGAAGCUUUGCAGCUACUCCCCUUUUUUAAUUUGAAAGUCCUUGUGAGAUACGGUGUUCCCUUGGUGAAAGAAGCUAAUGAGAUGUGGUUCAUCUCAGAUUGAUUAAUAUCACUUGCUGAAAAAAGUCCUAGUUUGGUUAUCCAACUAUUUUUGGGAAGAGCUAAUAGUUCUUGUUUAUU